GUAGUGGUUUCUUUGCUCCUACACAGCACGCUUGAUGCGUCGCGGGACAGCCACCGCGUGGUGGUUGCUUGUCGCCGCCGCGCUCCUGGUCCUGGUUCUGCCGCUGCUGGCCUCGUCCGCGCGUCCUCCUCCAGUGCUGCAACGAGGUGGUGGCGACGCCGGGCUGGGUGGAGGGAGAGAGCUAGCGGCCAUGGGAGCUGCGAGGCGGUUCGGGCAGAGGACGCCGGUGAAUAAGCCUCCCUCGCCCAACCCCCACGACGCGUCGUCGAUGGCCGUGCCGCCGCCACCGUCGCUUACUAGCUAGGGCCAAGGUCAGGUGCGGGAGUGAAUGCUGAUACGUGUAUGCGAUGGUGCCUGUGAUCGCCUAGCUUGGAUAGGCAGACUAUGUUCUUCCCGAUAGCCGAUCUCCUGAUCGGUAUUAGAGAAGAAACAACUAGCAGCUGUGCACAAUAAAUACGGGUUUUGCUACUGAUAAAUUAUGGAACUGUAUGGAAACAUGUGGGGAUAUACACCAAGUGAUGACCUUUUUUUUC